AAUGGGAGCCAUGGGUAGAGCUUGGAUCCUAUCCCCUCAGAUGGAGGGCAAAGAAGCAAACAGAAAGGGGCAGAGAUACCUCAGUUAGACUUGGUCAGGGCGUGGUCAGGGGUGACUGACAGGCAAGGUGUGUCCAAGCACCUGCCAGAGCUGCUGGUGUUCUGUGUGGAUGUGCAAGUACACACUCGCUCUGCAGCUUGGCUCCAUCCCAGCCUGGAGAUAAUAAUGGGUGCCAUGGCACACUGGCACAUGCACACACAGAGAGAUAUAAAAAGAAACUCCCAACUGGGUGCAGUGCCUUGCCUCUCCAGGUGAACUCUGACUGGCCCCGUCUCUGACGUCUCAGGCUGACAGCUCUUCCUCAGGCUUCAUCCACACCCCUGCAGGAGCUACUUAGGCUCAGCCAGGCUCAAGAGCUUCCCUCACCAGCCUCUCUCACCACCUGAGGAGGAGGCAGCAGACCGAAAGGCUCACAGAAGAACUUCUGGAGACUCUCUGGAGAGCUGGAGCCUGGCAAGGCUGCUUCUAAGGAACUCCUACAGAGACUGAGCCCCGUACCCCUGUGUAACGUACCCUGGAGUAAACCACUUACAUCUCUGAAAACCCUGGGAUCUGCACGCUGGGGAUCUGUCUGCACAUCUCAGGAUGGUCACCAGCACAGUCAUGUGACAGAGAAAGCUCAGUGUGGCACAUGGACAAGAUGGAAAGAACCAAGCAGUGAAGAUCCAUUGAACUGAACUAUUCUGAUUGGUUUGAUCAGUGGUUCUCAACUUGUGGGUAGAGAGCUCUUUGGGGAGGGGGGUGUCAUAUCAGACACCCUGCCCUCAGAUAUUACAUUACAGUUCAUAACAGUAGCAAAAUUACCGUUAUGAAGUAAUAACAAAAAUAAUUUUGUGGUUGGGAGUCAGCACAACAUUUGAAACUGUAUUAAAGGGUCACAGUGCGAGGAAGGUUGAGUUAAGGGGAAAUUUAAGGUUUCUUUGGGAAGUCAGUUGUGUCAAAUGGAGUUUUGUUCGGGCACACACAUGAAGGAAUGUUUUCCUGAAGCAGACACAGGUGAAAGGAUGUUUUGCUAAAGCAAGCACAUGAAAGGAAGUGUGAUAAAGGAUUCUGUGCUAAUGACACACAUGUAUUGGUUCGCCUUACAUUGCGUUAUUGAGCUCCGUUUGUCAUGACUCCAUAGAGAGAAACACACCAAAAUACUUUGGUGGUAUACUGGCCACUUCUUGCUGCUUCCCAAGACUUGGGCCACUUGGCGGAGUGAUGUCAGCUGACUCAGACUCCCAUGGACUUUUGCUAAGACAGACUCACUUGGGAAGACAAUGGGCAGCUUGUAGCACUAGCUUUGCAAUGCCUCUUGGUCUUGCAUCACUGCUGAUCUUUGCUUUGUUGAGGCAUGGCAGAGAACUUCUCCUGGUGUCCCUGGUGGUCUUGGUCGCUUCCACUGGUUCGUGCAGAUUUGGCUGAGGUCUGACUGUUUCUGCUAGGUCAUGCUACCGCUGCUGAUUCAUGUUUGCUAUUCCAACACUACUGGACUGGAUGGCGGAUGUAUUCGUAAAGUAUUUGCAAGUGGAUUGAGCUGCUGCCGCUAACUGUUGAUUUCCUGACAAUGCAGAUGGGAUUUGCUCCAAAGAACAAUUUCUAAACAGGCCCACUUUCUCCAGAUCCUAGUAACCGUUCUUUCCCAUUACCUCUGGUGGGUGGUGGGCUAGAAAGGAGGUUAAAGCACUUAAGAACCAUUGUUAAAAUCAGGGUUGAGAAAAUUUAAGCUUGCAGUUGAGGACCACUGGGUGAGAUCCUAGAUUUGGGUGACAGCAGUGCUCUCCUCGUUUUUGUCUUUUGACUUGUACUUGUGGAAUGCCAAUGAGCAUUAGCUGAAGAUUGACCAUAUGCUAGAUUAUUUCCUUUCAAAGCCUGGUCCCUGGGCAGAUUCUCUUAGACCCUCCAGAGGUCAGGGACAGGCCUAGCGGGAGUUAAUCACUGAUAUCCAGUCAAACCUCUGUGCUAAGGAUCUCACCUAAGAAAGCUCAGGAACUGGGACUGAUGAGAUGGCUCAGCUGGGAAAGGUGCUGCUACCACCCCAGACAACCUGACUUCAAUUCCCAGGGCCUGUGUGGUAGAAGGAGAGAACAGACUUUUCUCUGACCUCCUUAUGUUUAAUAUGGCAUGGAUGUGCACAUGUGCACACACACACAAAUAAAUAAACAGAAAUACACCAGUGUACAAAAUCAUAAAUGUUAAAAAGAGAGAGAGAGAGAGAGAGAGAGGGAGAGAGAGAGAGAGAGAGAGAAAGUCACAUGACGCCACACAGGCCUAAGGAUUUUGGAUUUAGUAUCCCUGAAUUACAGAUAAAAACAUAAAGUGUGGAGAAAUUAGUGAACAGCUUAGAAGGAGGCCCAGGGUCUGUGCAGCCCACCCUUGUCCCUCAUAGCUGCAAAAAGGGUCAGCAAGGGUCACUGUGAGAACCAGGUUUUCUCCUGGGUUAAUGGAUAUGAAAGCUAGCCCUUUGUUUGUUUUUGUUAUUUAUUUAUUUAUUUAUUUAUUUAUUCCCCUUCCCUUCUCCCUCUUGCUCUAGCCCCACUCGUUUCCAACCCAUAGGUUUUUUAUUUGUUUCUUAUUAUGGAUGGUUGUGAGCCACCAUGUGGUUGCUGGGAUUUGAA